AAAAGCGCACACAUUAUCAUAGAUAAGUUGGAAUAUUAUAAAAUGGAUUUUAAAAUUAUCAGGAUUCAUUGACGUUUUGAAAAUAGAUCUGGUGUGAUUUCAAAAACCAACGCGAAUACAAUGGUAUUAAUUUUCAAAAGCGUACACAUUAUCAUAGAUAAGUUGGAAUAUUAUAAAAUGGAUUUUAAAAUUAUCAGGAUUCAUUGACGUUUUGAAAAUAGAUCUGGUGUGAUUUCAGUAUUCAACGCGAAUUAAAUAUUCACUUGUCUGGGGGCACGGUGGCCCUCGUCGUCCAAGAAACCAUAAUUCACUGUUCAGAGUUGCGUCCCUUUGGCACACCGGAAACCUAUUCUUGUGGGUUCGAAUCCCAGUUCGCAACGACUAUGUUUCUAAGUGUAUCGGCAUCAGACCAGUGCCCGUGGGUUUCACUAAAGACAUAAAUGUCAGAGACCGGCAUGGCGUCCCACAGUAAACUUACGCGCAGUUUAUAACUGGAAUACCGUCCACAUUACUGUAGCGGGAAGACAACUGAAGGACAUUGACAAAGACCGUUAACAUAGUCAUGUUAAUUCUCUGUGCCUGUAUUUAGGGUUACAACUAGUCUUAACACCAGAUGUGCUUUAAGGCAGUAACAUGUUGACUAGUUGAGACUAUUUCUGUUUGUUAUAAUUAUGUACACAUUUUCACCGUUCUUCUUGAAAAACUUUUGUAUUUUGUAUUGUUAUAUCAGGAUGUAAGUUUUUUCCGUUAUAUCGAGCCUGCUUGUAUACUUUGCAAUGGGUUUUGUUCUUCUAUACAUUUACAACUUGUUAUACUCUGUCACUAUACAAGGGCUGUCUCUAUUCGUGAUCUCGGUUCUAGCGGUUAUUAUUCUGUACUAGACGUUGCUAGUACUAGACGUUACGUUGUCAGUACUAGACGUUGUAAGUACUAGACGUUGCUAGUACUAGACGUUGUCAGUACUAGACGUUGCUAGUACUAGACGUUGUUAGUACUAGACGUCAGUACUAGACGUCAGUUCUAAACGUUGUCAGUACUAGACGUUUUCAGUUCUAAACGUUGUCAGUACUAGACGUUUUAAGUACUAGACGUUGCUAGUACUAGACGUUGUCAGUACUAGACGUUGCUAGUGCUAGACGUUGUUAGUGCUAGACGUUGUCAGUACUAGACAUCAGUACUAGACGUUGUCAGUACUAGACGUUGCCAGUGCUAGACGUUGUCAGUACUAGACGUUGUCAGUACUAGACGUUGUCAGUACUAGACGUUGCUAGUACUAGACGUCAGUACUAGACGUUGCUAGUACUAGACGUUGUCAGUACUAGACGUUGUCAGUCAACGCAGAUGUACAAUUUGAAGUCGGCACUUGUCUCUCACCUUGCCAUAGUUAUUUAGAUGUGGUGUUAAUUAAUAGCAACUGCUGUCCUAACCUUUGUGAGUUGAAUAAAUGUCUUUUGUAAUAGUCA